rnacentral:rRNA from 1 species
UACAGAGGGUGCAAGCGUUAAUCGGAAUUACUGGGCGUAAAGGGCGCGUAGGCGGUCAUGUAAGUUAGAUGUGAAAUCCCUGGGCUUAACCUAGGAACUGCAUCUAAGACUGUGUGACUAGAGUGUGGUAGAGGGUAGUGGAAUUUCCGGUGUAGCGGUGAAAUGCGCAGAUAUCAGGAGGAACACCGGUGGCGAAGGCGGAUCUCUGGGCCUUACCUGACGCUCAGGUGCGAAAGCUAGGGGAGCGAACAGG